rnacentral:rRNA from 1 species
AUUGAACGCUGGCGGCAGGCCUAACACAUGCAAGUCGAACGAGUGGCGGACGGGUGAGUAAUGUCUGGGAAACUGCCUGAUGGAGGGGGAUAACUACUGGAAACGGUAGCUAAUACCGCAUACCAUCGGAUGUGCCCAGAUGGGAUUAGCUAGUAGGUGGGGUAACGGCUCACCUAGGCGACGAUCCCUAGCUGGUCUGAGAGGAUGACCAGCCACAUGGGAACUGAGACACGGUCCAGAGUCCUACGGUAGGAAGCAGUGGGAAAGAUUGCACAAUGGGCGCAAGCCUGAUGCAGCCAUGCCGCGUGUAUGAAGAGGGCCUUCGGGUUGUAAAGUACUUGCAGCGGGGAGGCGUUACCCGCAGAAGAAGCACCGGCUAACUCCGUGCCAGCAGCCGCGGUAAUUC